rnacentral:rRNA from 1 species
CAGCAGCCACGGUAAUACGUAGGUGGCAAGCGUUGUCCGGAAUUAUUGGGCGUAAAGGGCUCGUAGGCGGUUUCUUAAGUCUGAUGUGAAAGCCCCCGGCCCAACCGGGGAGGCUCAUUGGAAACUGGGAAACUUGAGUGCAGAAGAGGAGAGUGGAAUUCCACGUGUAGCGGUGAAAUGCGUAGAGAUGUGGAGGAACACCAGUGGCGAAGGCGACUCUCUGGUCUGUAACUGACGCUGAGGAGCGAAAGCGUGGGGAGCGAACAGGAUUAGAUACCCCUGUAGUCCCUGUCUCUUAUAC